CAGUGAGGACCAGAUGCUGGUUGAAGAGCUCCCCAGAGUCUUGUUGGGAUAACUGCAGUCUCUGCUUUCUGUAGAGGAUGUGACAAGGGUGAACACCAGUGUGGAGCCAGGAGAAGCCGUUCACCUGUGAAUGAUAACAGGGCCAGCACCAACUCCUACUGACUGAGCAUUUCUGUGUCAGACCAAGGGGUCUGUGCUUUACACACUCACUUCAUACCUCAAGAUGACUGUGUGAGCUUUAUUGAGGCAUAAUGAACAAAUAAAAAUUAU
rnacentral:lncRNA from 1 species